CAUUCACGGAGAGUUUGAUCCUGGCUCAGGACGAACGCUGGCGGCGUGCUUAACACAUGCAAGUCGAACGAUGAAGCUUUUCGGGGUGGAUUAGUGGCGAACGGGUGAGUAACACGUGGGCAAUCUGCCCUUCACUCUGGGACAAGCCCUGGAAACGGGGUCUAAUACCGGAUAACACUCUGUCCCGCAUGGGACGGGGUUAAAAGCUCCGGCGGUGAAGGAUGAGCCCGCGGCCUAUCAGCUUGUUGGUGGGGUGAUGGCCUACCAAGGCGACGACGGGUAGCCGGCCUGAGAGGGCGACCGGCCACACUGGGACUGAGACACGGCCCAGACUCCUACGGGAGGCAGCAGUGGGGAAUAUUGCACAAUGGGCGAAAG
rnacentral:rRNA from 1 species